GCAUGCAGGUGGUUUGUUAAGUCAGAUGUGAAAGCCCGGGGCUCAACCUCGGAAUUGCAUUUGAAACUGGCAGGCUAGAGUACUGUAGAGGGGGGUAGAAUUUCAGGUGUAGCGGUGAAAUGCGUAGAGAUCUGAAGGAAUACCGGUGGCGAAGGCGGCCCCCUGGACAGAUACUGACACUCAGAUGCGAAAGCGUGGGGAGCAAACAGGAUUAGAUACCCUGGUAGUCCACGCCGUAAACGAUGUCUACUUGGAGGUUGUGGCCUUGAGCCGUGGCUUUCGGAGCUAACGCGUUAAGUAGACCGCCUGGGGAGUACGGUCGCAAGAUUAAAACUCAAAUGAAUUGACGGGGGCCCGCACAAGCGGUGGAGCAUGUGGUUUAAUUCGAUGCAACGCGAAGAACCUUACCUACUCUUGACAUCCAGAGAACUUAGCAGAGAUGCUUUGGUGCCUUCGGGAACUCUGAGACAGGUGCUGCAUGGCUGUCGUCAGCUCGUGUUGUGAAAUGUUGGGUUAAGUCCCGCAACGAGCGCAACCCUUAUCCUUGUUUGCCAGCGAGUAAUGUCGGGAACUCCAGGGAGACUGCCGGUGAUAAACCGGAAGAAGGUGGGGACGACGUCAAGUCAUCAUGGCCCUUACGAGUAGGGCUACACACGUGCUACAAUGG
rnacentral:rRNA from 1 species